AAAGAGGGGUCUAUGAGUAAUGGAAGCAUGGAGUCAGGGAUCAAUGGCUUAUCACAGGGGUUCCAGGCCCAAAGUAGAUGGAGCUGACACAGACUGAGAACUAUACGGAAGGACUUCGGCCGUGAAUUUCGUUAGAAGACAUUGUGAUCAUCACGCUACUACGGACCUCUUCAAUGCCAGGAGGUGGAGCAUCAGAUUCUCAGUUUGGGACAAUGGGUGGAAGGGAAAGCUAUAAUCUCUUAGGGAAGAAGUCCUGUAACUAAAGAGCAAUACUGGUGGUCCAAGGAUGUGUUUGAGAGGGUUAGGGGUUUAAUCAAGCUAUCUCUUGGGGCACGGAAUGAGGACAUCAUUGAUUUUUUCCAAUUUGUCAAGAGCAGGGUGGAGGGGAAAGCUAUAAUCUCUCAAGGGAGAGGUCUGAUAACUGAUGAGCAAUACCAAUGGUCCAAGGAUGUGCUUGAAAGGGUUGGGGGUUUAAUCAGGCUAUCUUUUGGGCCACAGGAUGACAUCAGUGAUUUAUUUAUUUUUAUUAUUUUUAUUUUUUCCAAUUUGUCAAGAGCAAGGUUAUCCAGAGACUCUCGGAAACUCGAAUGUUUAAGAGCCAAAAGGCACCCAAUGGUUGGAGAGAAAUUGUAAGUCUUGAAUGCUCAAUUAAUUAUGAACCGAUAGGAAAAGCCAGUGCUGGAAAGAGGGGAAGAUUGGGAAAAGCUCGUUUCCAAUGAUUAUCCUAUCAUGGAAAGUUAGAAGCCUGGGAUGCAAGUAUUAAAGGGCUUAGGUGAGGAAAGUUUGUAGAAAGGCCAAAAUUGAAAUCAUCAACCUUUAGGAAACAGAGCUCCAAGCAAUCGAUAAAGGUAUGUUAGACGAUGAGCAAUAAGGAGUGGGUUUCUGUUGACGCGAUAGUUUCUGCGGGAGGUCUCCUCGUUGCCUAGAAUUUUGACUUUUUGCAGAAAGUCGACGCUUCUUUGGGGCGUUUCUCGUUAUCUAUUCUGCUGCGGGAGGGUUCAUCUGGUUAUCAAUGGAUCUUCACAACAGUUUAUGGGCCAAGCUCCAGCUCCAGCUCCGACAUGGACCGAUUUUGGGAUGAAUUGGACAUUAUCAGACAUAAGUGGGAUGCCCUUUGGUGCGUAGGGGGUGACUAUCAUGUGGUUCGGUUUCUGCAUGAGAAAUCAAAGGUUGGGUGUAUCAACAAGAGUAUGAGGGAUUUUUCCGAUUGGGUAUCUAGGCAUGAUCUGGUGGAUCUGCCAAUGUAGGGGGGAACUUUCGCAUGGUUUAAUGGAUAACAUAACACUAUCUUGUCACGGUUGGACAAGUUCUUAGUAUCUCUGGACUGGCUCGAUAAGUACCCUCUUGUUUGUCAAUGUGGGCUGCCAAGACCUUUUUCAUAUCACCGCCCUAUUGUCCUAGGGGUGGCUAGAAAUAAUUGGGAACAAAAACCUUUUAGGUUUGAGUUGGGAUGGGCCAAGAUGGAUGGGUUUAAGGAGCUUAUAGCUGGUUGAUGGAACUCUUUCGAAGUUGAAGGCUUCAUUGGCUUUCGGUUAUGCUAAAAACUUCGGCUUUUAAAAGAAAAUUUAAAGAUAUGGAAAAGGAAGGUGCUUGGGGACCGCGAGGUUGAAUUCAAUAAAAUUGCAAAAGAAAUUCAUGAAUUAGAUUUGUUGGAAGAGGCAGGUGCGUUGUCGGAUGAGGAGAAGUGCUAGUUUAUACUCUAGGUUUGUGAGCUGGUCGAAGGAAGAGGAAAUCAAAUGGUGACAACGGUCCAGACAAGCGUGGCUCAAGGAUGGCGACGAAAAUACCAGAUAUUUUCACAACAUAGCAAGUGCUCGGGCUAGAUGCAACCGAAUAGGCAGCUUCAUAGUUAAUGAGGAGAGGACAUUAGAUAAAAAGAAAAUUUGCGAGCACAUUGUCUCAUUUUAUAGUAACUAUCUGCUGAUUCUUGGAAUAGAUCCUUGCUGGAUGAUUUAGUCUUUGAGAGGCUUUCAGAUGUCAAGGCGGCAUCCCUUGAAACUCACUUCUCUGUUGAUGAGGUUAAAGUUGCUUUAGAUUCCAUGUGUGGCGAUAAAGCUUUGGACCCAGAUGGUUAUCCCAUGGCUUUUUUUCAUAUGUUCUGGCACCUCAUCAAAUCUGAUAAUAUGAACUUUGUGUGGGAAGCUUAGUAGUCUUUCUUUUGUAAUGUGGGCGUCCUUCAUUGUCCUUAUCCUUUAGGUGUGUGGAGCAAAGCACCUAAAAGACUUUCGCCCUAUUAGUCUUAUUGGGUUCCUGUAUAAGAUCCUCGUCUUUCAAAUUCAGAGAGUCACAUCUAAUGCUAUCACUGAGAAUCAAGGGGCCUUUGUGCUGGGUAGAUAUAUUCUUGAUAGCGCUUUGGUCGCUCACGAAUGUGUUGACUCUAGAUAUAGAGAUAUGAGAAGUGGUUUGGUGUGCAAACUUGAUUUAGAGAAAGCCUAUGAUCACGUUGAUUGUGGGGGUUCUUGGAUUAUAUACUCUUCUGAUUGGGCUUCAAUGAUAGAUGGCGGGGUUAAUUGCGGUCAUGUAUUCAGGCAACCUCUUUUUUGGAUAUGGUUAAUGGCUCGUUGUAAGGGUUCUUUAUGGCUACGCAGGGUCUCAAGCAAGGGGAUCUUCUAUCCGCAUAUCUUUUCAUGGUUGUGGGCGAGGCCUUUAGUAAGAUGCUUUUUAGAGCAGAGGUCAAUGGUCUCGUGAAGGGCUUCAAAGUCGAGAAAGGCGGAUCCAUAUUAGUCAUCCUCAGUAAGCGGACGACUCCCUUUUAUUUUGCGAUACAGACGUCACGUCGGUUGAUAACCUUCAUAAAAUCAUAGUUUGUUUUGAAGUGGUGUCAGGCAUCUAGCUUAAUGCUAACAAAAGUGAGAUUUUGGGAGUUCAUGUUUCUAAUGAUGACCUUAAUAUGUUUGUGAAUGUUUUUGGGUGCAAGGUAGGAUCUUUUUCAUCCUCAUAUAUUGGUUUGCCUUUCCGUAUCAAGAAACCAACAACUCAUGUAUAGGAUAAGGAGAGUGUGGGGCUUCUACUUUUCCAUGAUGCAUGUGGCGUGGGUGAUGCUGAGGUCAGUUAAUGAUCUUCUUAUGGCGUGUGUUGGUGGCAGAGUUGAGAAAGAUGGAAAAACAAGCUGGAGGCUCCUAAUCAUGGUGACUUUUUGGACUAUUUGGAAGGAAAUGAAUGAGCGAUGUUUUAGAAAUGGGAGGGCCUCUGUUGAGGAACUCAUUCUCUUGGUUAAUAGCUCUGUUUUGGGAUGGGGGUCUUUUUGUAUGCGCAGUUGAUGCUGCUGCUUUUUCUUCAUUUUUCUUUUCUGUAGUGUGCUUUGUAUUCUUUCCCUGCUUUAGUCGGGCUUCUCAAUAAAUUGUUGUUAUCUCUAAAAAAAAAUGUUUGCAGUUUUAUGUCAUGAUCUGAACAAUCACUUCUUGCUC